UACGUAGGGUGCGAGCGUUAAUCGGAAUUACUGGGCGUAAAGCGUGCGCAGGCGGCCGAGCAAGUCGAGUGUGAAAGCCCCGGGCUUAACUUGGGAAUUGCGCUCGAAACUACUUGGCUGGAGUGUGGCAGAGGAAGGUGGAAUUCCAGGUGUAGCGGUGAAAUGCGUAGAGAUCUGGAGGAACACCGAUGGCGAAGGCAGCCUUCUGGGACAACACUGACGCUCAUGCACGAAAGCGUGGGGAGCAAACAGG
rnacentral:rRNA from 1 species